UUCUUUCUUUCGUAGUACAUAGUUGCAUUUGCGUAUAUUUUUUUGAAAUUAAUAUUUUGAAUAUAUUUAAAAAAUUUAAUUUCAUCUUUUGAAAAUGGAGUAUGACGAAAAAAUCGAAUUAAUUAAAGAUAUUGUGAAAUGUAUGGAGGAAGCCAUACAAAUUGAUUCAGACGAUAGUGAAAAGGGUGAUAUAUGUUGGUUUUAAUAAAUAAAAUGUAUUUCUUAAUUGACAGAGCUAAUUAAUAUAUGUGAUAGAGUGGCCCAAAUACCUAUAAGGAAAAAGAAACGACAAUGGGUUAAAGUAAAGAGUAGACAAUGGGUUAAAGUAAAGUGAAAGGGAAUGAGAAAAAAA